AUGAUCGACAUGGUGAUGUGCAGAAGCUUGUGACGGUUACACUGAUGGAGAAGUUUGUUCCUACCGUCUCCGGCUCUCAGAAGCUCCUGGCAUCGAUGGACUGCCAUCAAAUCACUCAGGUGCAUGGAUUCACUGAUAUUACAG